ACUUACUUUCACUACAACUGCAUUGCCAAAUCCAAAAUCACGGGCUAGUCAUCAGCAUCAAAACACAUUCACCAUGUGUCCAGCUCCCCCUGUCAAAAAACACAAACCAUUUCUCACUCUCAUCUUCUUUUCUUUCUCAAUCUCCUCCGUACCUUCCUCUCCUCGUUGCACCACAUCGACGCCGCGGCUCUGGUAUGUGAUGCCGUCGCCGCAGCUUUGCUGCGUCGCACCGCCGCCUCGCCGUGCUCCUCUGCUUCUCUUUCCUCCACUUCUUUCUUGUGCUCCCCGUCGUGCUCCUCUGUUGCUCGUGCCACCUCAACUCCAUCCAUCGCUGCUCGAUUCAAUCUCCAUCAUCACAAUAGGAACUGGAGACCUGUGCUCUAAUCAUGGAGUGAAAAUGUUCACUGAGGAAUUGAACAGCUUCUCUGUGAGGUAGGCAAUGGGUCAUGGGAUUCAUGGUUUCUGCCUUGACAGAGCAGACUAAUAUUGUUUGUGAAAAGAUGAUUAGGAUUCCUGCAGUAUUAUGUAAAACGCACUAGAAGCAGCAAUAAAUGACAUAAACAAUUCUUUUGGAAAGGGAAGUUUUACAAGUUGGGCAAUGCUGGGGGAGCUUUAGUUGAAACAUUUCUUAGUGGCUGUUUGACCUUGGACUGUGCUUUAGGUGGCAAUCUUCCAAAAGGUAGAAUUGUUGAGGUAUUGACUGCCUGGUAUAUGUUUGUGUUCACUGUUCUUUUAGUUCUUCCCACCAUCUUAUUUACAACUUUUAGGUUUUUGGAGCGAGGAGUAAGUAAAAUAAUUGGGUGUGAAUUAUGAAGAAUGAGAUAUAUUUGUAAGCUGCAAGGAUUGGGUCAUUGGGGUUUUAUUCAAUUGGUAUUUGUUACUAGUUUUGGUGUUUUAUGGCAUCUUCAACAAGUUGGGAUUGCUUGGUUACCUUGUUUUUUUAAUUUUUUUUUACCUGUACUUUAGUUUACCUUUUCCCCAUUUUCGUCUUUGUUUCUCUCUGUACCCUGACCUGUGUUUAUCAAUCUUCAUAUGUAGUGCUUAACCUUUAUAGGAGUAUGUUACUGUAGUUUGGGAGGGCUUCUAAUAAAACUAUCAGAAAAAGCUGGUUUAUGCAUUAUUGCUCCUUGAUUCUUUUGUUCAUUAAUUUACACGUGAUAGGGUUGUUGAUUCUUUUUAUUACUUUAUGCCUGAAUUGUUCUGUCAUGGUCAAACUGACAUUAUCUUCUGGCUAUACUUCUAGAUAUUUGGACCAGAAAGUAGUGGGAAGACUACCGUUGCACUUCAUGCUAUUGCAGAAGUGUAGGUAAUUGUAUAACAAUAAUGUACUUGAUGUAAAUAUGUUUUGAGACCAACCUGCAAUUCUAUUUUGAUGUCUAGAAACUAGGAGGAAAUGCAAUGCUCGUUGAUAUAUUAUUAGCUAUCGCAUGAAUAGUUACUUGACCAAUGUGCAAUUCAAGAUUAGUUAUUACCUUUUCUUGUGCUGCUGCUACUUACUAGUGUGUGGAUUCUAUUGAGUUUUAUUGUACAUUCUGUCUCACUUUGCUAUUUGUCUACGUGUGUAUUUGAAGUGGUGAGUUUAUUUCAAGUCAACCAAUCUUUUAUGCUUGAUUUCUUCUAAUAAAACUUCUUGAAAAUUUAGGAGUCACAUUUGUAUGUAUAUGAGAACCAGGUGCUAAACGCCUGCAAAAAUAAGCUUAGAUCCAUGGAUGAGGUCAGAUCACUUGUUAGCCUCCGAGCACUGAUUUUGAAGGGUCAGACUUCGUUUGCUAAUUAUCUACUUUGAAGACAAGAAGAGGGCAAGAUUCCAUGGUUAGAAUGAGGAUGAUCAUGUUGAAGUUGAUAAUCUUGAAUUUGAGAGAAAAUCGAGUAAGAAAAAGAAGAAAACUGUUGAUGAUUUCAAGAAGGAAGUCAGAGUCACUGACGAGGAAAAUACAGAUCAUAACAAGAAAUCAACUAAGAAAAAGCUCAAGAAUGAUGAUAAGCCCACGGACAAGAAAUUAGCUCUGCAGGAGAAUGUUAUUAGGAUCGAGAAGAAACAUAAGAAAAAACAAAAGAAUGAGAAACAAAGUGAACUUGAUACGAUUGUUUAUAUCUAAUGUAUCAAUACACUAUUUGUGUUUAUGUUUUGAGU